AGCCCUAACGGAGAGAUUCCCUGCCCGGGGCGGGGCGCUGGAGAGCUUCCCAGACACGGAAGGCGUCGGGGAGAACUUAUCCUGGAACUGCUGGACAGCUCCGGGACCUAGAGCGCCCCCUGCCAAACAGCGCCGAGAACCGGACUCUUGGUUCUCCAGGACCAGCACACAGCAGGAGACAAGGGCAGCAGAGCGAGUGUGCCUGUCCACGCUGAAAAGAAGAAAUGAUAGGAAAAACUGCACCAAGCUGGACAACGUCUAUCAUUAUACACAAGAUUUACCCCACUAAAGUGAGAUAAGAAGCAAAAUCAUCCACUGAGAGUGAGGAGCAGAAGCGAGGAGUUGGAAAUUUGAGAAGCAAGAAGAGGAGGUGAAAUAGUAAUCCCUGAGAGAGAAAAUAAAUCAAUAAGGAAAUAGGAACUGUGGUCGACUGAAUUGCAAAGACUGCACUGAGGCCCACUUGAGACAAACAGUCAUAAACUUUAAAAGAGAUCAAUCAGAAUAGUUAGGUGUUUUCCUCCAGCAAUCAAACUACAAGCUUGAGAAACAUUUAUUGAUUGUUUAUUAUGUGCCAAGCACUGAUGUAAGCAUUUUACUCCUAUUAAUACCGUUGAA